CCAUAGCGACUAUCGUGGCAUAUCAAUAAGCGGAGGAAAAGAAACUAACAAGGAUUCCCUUAGUAACGGCGAGUGAAGCGGGAAGAGCUCAAAUUUGAAGUCUUCAAGGUUUACCUUGACGAAUUGUAGUUAUAGAAGUGUUUUCUGUUAGUAGGAGUAGUAAAAGUUCUUUGGAAUAGGACAUCAUAGAGGGUGAGAAUCCCGUAUUUGACUAUUCUUUCUAGCUUUGUGAUACACUUUCAAAGAGUCGGAUUGUUUGGGAAUGCAGUCCAAAAUGGGUGGUAAAUUUCAUCUAAAGCUAAAUAUUGGCGAGAGACCGAUAGCGAACAAGUACCGUGAGGGAAAGAUGAAAAGAACUUUGAAAAGAGAGUUAAACAGUACGUGAAAUUGUCAAAAGGGAAGCGUUUGACACCAGUGUUGUUUAGUUGAAAAUCAAUUCAAUAAUUUUUGAUUUUAAGUAGUAUUGACUUCAUCAGCUUGCUGCUUUCUUUUCAGGAAUUAUUGAAUGCACUUUUCAGUUAACAAGUCAACAUCAAUUUCUUUUGUUGUAAAAGGGUAAGAGGAAGGUGGCUUGCGCUUCGGCUCAAGUGUUUAUAGCCUUUUAUCUCUGCAAUCGGAGAGAUUGAGGUCUGCAGCGUAGAUCCUUCGGGGUUAGAUACAUUGGUGCUAAGCUAUAGCCUUGUAUAGACAACUUGUUGACUAUGCUCAGUCAUGUAGCUUACUCGCUGAUGCUAUUUUACCUACGCUUAGGAUGUUGAUAUGCAUGACUGAUAU
rnacentral:rRNA from 1 species